AGGAGGUUGGCUUAGAAGCAGCCAUCCUUUAAAGAAAGCGUAAUAGCUCACUGGACUAGUGGUUCUGCGCCGAAAAUGUAACGGGGCUAAAGCGACAUACCGAAGCUAUGGAAUAUGUAAAUAUUGGUAGGAGAGCAUUGUGUUUACCGACGAAGGCAUACCGUAAGGAGUGCUGGAGGUCUCACAAGAGCUGAUGCUGAAAUGAGUAGCGAAAAGAAGAGUGAGAAUCUCUUCCGCCGUAAAUCUAAGGGUUCCUGGGCCAGGUGAAUCCGCCCAGGGUUAGUCGGAUACUAAGAUGAGGCCGAAAGGCGUAGUCGAUGUCCAACAGGUUAAUAUUCCUGUACUUAGUAAUAAUCGUUCGACUUGAUGGAGUGACGGAGAAAGGUAGUGGAUCCACCUAUUGGAUGGUGGUUUAAGUAUGUAGAGGGUCGAUUAGGCAAAUCCGGUCGGCAUAACUUCGAGGUACGAAUACGAGGGCAACCGAAGUCCAUAACCCUAUGCUUCCCAGAAAAGCUUCGCAAGGAGAUUAUUAUUAAUCCGUACCGUAAACCGACACAGGUAGAUGAGGAGAGAAUCCUCAGGCGUUUGGGAGAACUCUAGUUAAGGAACUCUGCAAAUUGGUGCCGUAACUUCGGGAGAAGGCACGCCUUUAAUGGUGACAUCACUUGCUGAUGUAGCUAUUGAGGGUCGCAGUGAAAAGGGGGUAGCGACUGUUUAUCAAAAACACAGGUCUAUGCAAACACGCAAGUGGAAGUAUAUGGGCUGACGCCUGCCCGGUGCUGGAAGGUUAAGAGGAUUGGUUAGAGCAAUCGAAGCUGAGAAUCGAAGCCCCAGUAAACGGCGGCCGUAACUAUAACGGUCCUAAGGUAGCGAAAUUCCUUGUCGGGUAAGUUCCGACCUGCACGAAUGGCGUAACGACUUCCCCACUGUCUCAACUAGAGACCCAGCGAAAUUGGUGAGCGCGUGAAGAAACGCGCUACCCGCGGAAGGACGAAAAGACCCCGUGAACCUUUACUGUAGCUUGGCAUUGGAUUUCGAUUAACAUUGCGUAGGAUAGGUGGGAGUUUUUGAUCCGUGCAUUCCGGUGUACGGGGAGACAACCUUGAAAUACCACCCUAUGUUAAUUGGAAUUCUAACCUACGAUCGUAAUCCGGUCGGGGGACAAUGCCUGGUGGGCAGUUUGACUGGGGCGGUCGCCUCCUAAAGAGUAACGGAGGCGCACUAAGGUUCCCUCAGGCCGAAUGGAAACCGGCCAUAGAGUGUAAACGCAUAAGGGAGCUUGACUGUGAGGCAAACGAGCCGAGCAGGUGCGAAAGCAGGUGUUAGUGAUCCGGUGGUCCCGCGUGGAAGGGCCAUCGCUCAACGGAUAAAAGGUACUCCGGGGAUAACAGGCUGAUCUCCUCCAAGAGUUCACAUCGACGAGGAGGUUUGGCACCUCGAUGUCGGCUCAUCGCAUCCUGGGGCUGGAGCAGGUCCCAAGGGUUUGGCUGUUCGCCAAUUAAAGCGGUACGCGAGCUGGGUUCAGAACGUCGUGAGACAGUUCGGUCUCUAUCCUCCGUGGGCGUAAGAGAUUUGAGUGAAGCUGACCUUAGUACGAGAGGACCGGGUUGGACGAACCUAUGGUGUACCGGUUAUGGCGCCAGCUGUACCGCCGGGUAGCUAAGUUCGGAAGGGAUAACCGCUGAAAGCAUCUAAGUGGGAAGCCCAUCACAAGAUAAGAUUUCUAUUAAGACAGCUUGUAGACUACGAGCUUGAUAGGUUGGGGGUGUAAGAGCAGUAAUGUUUUGAGCCGACCAAUACUAAUUUGUCGUUUUGCUUUUAUUAU
rnacentral:rRNA from 1 species